UACGUAGGGAGCAAGCGUUGUCCGGAAUCAUUGGGCGUAAAGCGCGCGUAGGCGGCCCCAUAAGUCCGCUGUGAAAGUCAAAGGCUCAACCUUUGAAAGCCGGUGGAUACUGUGGGGCUAGAGUACGGAAGAGACGAGUGGAAUUCCUGGUGUAGCGGUGGAAUGCGCAGAUAUCAGGAGGAACACCAAUAGCGAAGGCAGCUCGCUGGGACGUCACUGACGCUGAGGCGCGAAAGCGUGGGGAGCGAACAGG
rnacentral:rRNA from 1 species